GGUAAUGAUAAGAGACAAAAUAACUCUUAUCGCAGAUAAAAACAUGGUAUAGAGAGAAAUAUUCAGUCGAUACUGAACAGUCACCAGCUAUGGAUAAACAGAAUAAGUUUGAAAUGACGAAUACAAGAUAUCCAGCGAAUCCAACGUACUCAGGAGACUCAGGGUUUCAACCCCAAGCUUCUUACGGCAAUCCUCCACCAUAUACAGAACACCAAAUACCACCACCACCACCAGUGCAAACCACUGUCAUCACCACAUCACCAACCGUUGUGAUGAUCAACAAUAUGGGACCAAAUCCGACGUCUUACUUUUGUACUCUGUGUAAUAAGUAAAUUGUUACAACUGUGAAAAAAGAAACGACUUUGGGGACUCAUUUGUGUGCAGGAAUUCUUUGUCUUUUCGGAUGCUGGUGCUGUGUUUGUAUACCGUACUGUGUGGAUAGUUUCAAAAAGUCAUUUCAUUACUGCCCACAAUGUGAUACCUUCCUUGGAUCGAGCACAUGAAUAAUGUGAAGUGAUUUUAUUUAGUAUUUUUUAUUUACGUUUAUUGUGAGAGACUAUCAAAGAAGUCCUAUGCACUUGUGACAUUUUUU